AUGAAGAAACUAAAGAUAUUUUCAAGGAUAAUGAAGAAACUACGGACAUUUUCAAGCUUCACACCCUUAAUUUCGAUGUUUUGGCACCCAGGAGCACAGAAAACAGGGCAUUCCUGAGCAGAAUUAAUUGCACUUAAAAGGAAAUGUGUGUGCACUGGAGAAGCUUCUCUAUCAUGGGGGACAGAAAAUCCAAAAACUGAUUUCCAGGUUUUCAGGUGCUAAAGGUGUGGUAAUUAAACAGCACAACCCAAUUUUCAUGUCACCAUCCCCAGGAAGCUCUGUGAGGACUUACAGCCUCAAGAUGGGACAAAACAAAGGCCCAACUUCCACUGAACUCCAGAAUUCAUCAACUAUCACAAAAUUAUUCCUGGGGUGGGCCCAAGAAGGGGGCUCUGAAGUCUCUUUGGAAUGGGGACCACAGGUAAAAUUAGAAGAUCCAGAAUGAAGGGACCUCAAAGCUCAUCCAGUUCCACCCCCUGCCGUGGGCAGGAACCCCUUCCACCAUCCCAGAGUGCUCCAACCUGGCCUGGGACACUUCCAAGGAAAAUCAUGUUCUGCUGAAGCCUGUUUGAGGCUGGGAAUGUUUUGUACCUGUCACACCUGCACAGUCCUUUUCUCAGGUUGGUGUUACUUUUUGGGAUCUGUAUAAACCAUAUUUCUGUAACUAUUAGUACUUAGUUAAAGGAAAGCAGAGUGUCCAUAUGGGAAUGCUGUUCUGACCCAUGGCUGAUCCCUUUUUAGCUCAGAAAACAGCACUUAAAACUGCUGAGGCUCUUUUAUACCUUCACAUGGGUCAGUUUUAAAUCCAUAUCACAAUAUAAAUCAAGAGAUACUGACUUAAGA
rnacentral:lncRNA from 1 species